AGGAGGAGAGCCUGCAGGCCCCCUGGAUAGAAUUGAACCUUCACAAUAAUGGAAAUGGGAGCAGUGUUUCAGGCUUAGUUUCUACUUUUAAUUGUGACACGGAAAAAAUACUGCUGAAUUUCCAGCAUGUCUCUAGAUAGUGAUAGCUCCAAAAGUUCUCACUGUGACAGCCCACUUUAUUCAGACACCAUGGGAUACUAAUAGGGCUUCUGAAACAGAAAAAGCAUUGGAGAGAAAAACAGAUCUCCAUCUGAGCAAGAUUAUUUUGAGAGACGAAAGUUAAAAAGAUCCUAAGAAAAAGCUCUGACAAGAUGUAAGUUUAAUCAAGUCAGUCAGAAUAUAUUCCCUUAAAAGAAAUUUCUCUGUAAACACCCAAAGUGCACAGCUACUCUCAGCAUGAGAAACAUGAGCAAUAUGAAGAAAGGUGGCAGAAUUUCAGAAGAAUUUUAUAAAGUUUCUUUUCCAUCUCUGCUGCUGUCUCAUCUCCUAGCGAUUGAAUGGGGGUCCUAUC
rnacentral:lncRNA from 1 species